rnacentral:lncRNA from 1 species
UGGAAGAUAAAUUAUAAAAAAUAUCCUAUUGCAUCCCAUAUGCGAUGGCUUGUAGGGCAAUAUUCUUUCACUCACACCACUGCAGUAUCAAGAUAACCACUGACAAGUAAGUAGACAUCUAACUGAUUUUUUAUAUUGAUCACAUUCAAUGUGAGUUAUUCUCUAACAACCAUCCAUACUUUCAUCUUAGUAUCUUUACACCAC